UGUCGUCAGCCUAGCAGUGAUUUCAGAGACGAUGACUUUGUCAACUUCGGGGAGUACAGCAGUGGGUUUGCAUCAAAGUUGGUUUUGAAACCUGGAGUUGUGCCAUCACGGAGGUUGCCCACUUCUCCAUCAGCCAGCACACCAGGGACAUCAACAACAUCCAACAACCAUACAUCUUGCCAAACAGACCCACCUAGUCUGUCAUCCAGGGGCACACAGCUUUCUGUUGUUACUUUACGCAAUCAUGUGAGAAGCAGAGGCACACAAACUA